GAUGAACGCUGGCGGCGUGCCUAAUACAUGCAAGUCGAGCGAACAGACGAGGAGCUUGCUCCUCUGACGCUAGCGGCGGACGGGUGAGUAACACGUGGAUAACCUACCUAUAAGACUGGGAUAACUUCGGGAAACCGGAGCUAAUACCGGAUAAUAUAUUGAACCGCAUGGUUCAAUAGUGAAAGACGGUUUUGCUGUCACUUAUAGAUGGAUCCGCGCCGCAUUAGCUAGUUGGUAAGGUAACGGCCUACCAAGGCAACGAUGCGUAGCCGACCUGAGAGGGUGAUCGGCCACACUGGAACUGAGACACGGUCCAGACUCCUACGGGAGGCAGCAGUAGGGAAUCUUCCGCAAUGGGCGAAAGCCUGACGGAGCAAUGCCGCGUGAGUGAUGAAGGUCUUCGGAUCGUAAAACUCUGUUAUUAGGGAAGAACAAAUGUGUAAGUAACUAUGCACGUCUUGACGGUACCUAAUCAGAAAGCCACGGCUAACUACGUG
rnacentral:rRNA from 1 species